rnacentral:rRNA from 1 species
AUGCAAGUCGAGCGAACUGAUGAGAAGCUUGCUUCUCUGACGUUAGCGGCGGACGGGUGAGUAACACGUGGGCAACCUGCCCUAUAGUUGGGGAUAACUCCGGGAAACCGGGGCUAAUACCGAAUAAUACAUUCCAUCUCCUGUUGGAAUGUUGAAAGAUGGUUUACGCUAUCGCUAUAGGAUGGGCCCGCGGCGCAUUAGCUAGUUGGUGAGGUAACGGCUCACCAAGGCGACGAUGCGUAGCCGACCUGAGAGGGUGAUCGGCCACACUGGGACUGAGACACGGCCCACACUCCUACGGGAGGCAGCAGUAGGGAAUCUUCCACAAUGGGCGAAAGCCUGAUGGAGCAACGCCGCGUGAGUGAAGAAGUUUUCGGAUCGUAAAACUCUGUUGUAAGGGAAGAACAAGUACAGUAGUAACUGGCUGUACCUUGACG